rnacentral:rRNA from 1 species
AGAGUUUGAUCCUGGCUCAGAAUGAACGCUGGCGGCGUGCCUUACACAUGCAAGUCGAGCGAGGCGGCCCGCGAGGGUCAGUCGAGCGGCGAACGGGUGAGUAACGCGUGGAUAACCUGCCCAGAGGUGGGGGAUAACCCGGGGAAACUCGGGCUAAUACCGCAUGAUACCGAGAGGUCAAAGGGGGCUCGCAAGGGCUCUCGCCAUUGGAGGGGUCCGCGUCCGAUUAGCUAGUUGGUAGGGUAAUGGCCUACCAAGGCGACGAUCGGUAGCCGGCCUGAGAGGGUGAUCGGCCACACUGGAACUGAGACACGGUCCAGACUCCUACGGGAGGCAGCAGUGGGGAAUUUUGCGCAAUGGGCUAACGCCUGACGCAGCAACGCCGCGUGGAGGAUGAAGGUCUUUGGAUUGUAAACUCCUGUCAGCAGGGAAAAAGCGACUCGGACGAAUAAUCCGGGGAGUUGAUUGUACCUGCAGAGGAAGCCCCGGCUAACUCUGUGCCAGCAGCCGCGGUAAUACAGAGGGGGCAAGCGUUAUUCGGAAUUAUUGGGCGUAAAGGGCGCGUAGGCGGCUUGGCAAGUGGAUGGUGAAAUCCCUCGGCUUAACCGAGGAACUGCCGUCCAAACUGCUUUGCUUGAGGCCGGGAGAGGCGAGUGGAAUUCCCAGUGUAGCGGUGAAAUGCGUAGAUAGUGGGAGGAACACCAGUGGCGAAGGCGGCUCGCUGGACCGGUUCUGACGCUGAUGCGCGAAAGCGUGGGGAGCAAACGGGAUUAGAUACCCCGGUAGUCCACGCUGUAAACGAUGAGUGCUUGGUGUAGCGGGUAUCGACCCCUGCUGUGCCGAAGUCAACACAUUAAGCACUCCGCCUGGGGAGUACGGUCGCAAGGCUGAAACUCAAAGGAAUUGACGGGGGCCCGCACAAGCGGUGGAGCAUGUGGUUCAAUUCGAAGCAACGCGAAGAACCUUACCUGGGUUC